rnacentral:tRNA from 1 species
GGCUCGUUGGUCUAGGGGUAUGAUUCGCUUUGGGUGAGACGUCCGGGUUCAAAUCCCAGACGAGCCC